rnacentral:pre_miRNA from 1 species
UAUAUACUCCCUCUGUCCAGAAAUACUUGUCAUCAAAAUGGAUAAAAGGGAUGUAUCUAGAUGUAUUUUAGUUUUAGAUACAUCCCUUUUUGUCCAUUUUGAUGACAAGUAUUUUCGGACGGAGGGAGUAUAAU